ensembl:lncRNA
GGUGUAUCCAUGCCUGUGGGCACAACAGUUCCGUCAACGCAGGACGAGCUUGAAAUAAUUCCUGGAGACGUGUUAGAUCCUGAAAGCUGAGAUAGUCUGGACUGAGCAAGCUGCAAGAGCCACCUUCACUCAGUUCAAGAACACUUCAGUGUUUCACAAGGAGCCAGUUACACCAAAACACUCCAAUUUCACAUCCUGGAUACAUGCAUGAGUUCUGGUUUCUGGCUCUGUACGUUGCAGGUCAUUUAUAUUUUCUACUCAGAAUCUAAAGGCUGGAAACUGACUCAUUGUUAAUAGAAAGUAUAAAAGCCCACUAGGAGCAACAUGAUUCCAGGAGCUCAGACUAUCAUGGGAACAUCAAAUGCACCUGGCAUCGUGAUAAGGCCAUCAGAAAUUAGCAACACCAAAGGUGCAUCCUGGGUGUCCUUCUAACACAGAUCAUAGCUGACAUAUAUCUGUCUGUACUGACAUCACCUGGAGCCUCAGCAGCAUACUUUGGAGCAGAGCAAAUCAAUGUCAAUAAGGAGUGCCAAUACCCAAAGUUCUCUCCUGUUCCAGAAGAGGAGCAGCAUCAGAGAGAUGGGCUGGGAUGGGACAACAAGGCAAGCAUGACUGUGGCUAUCACACAGGGAGGCUGGGGCUGCACCGUUCUGUGGCAUUUGUCACAGAAUAUGCCAAAAUGCAAGGGUGGAAAUGAGCUUUAAGGCAUGACUGGAAGAUACGCCAAUGGCAAUUAUUAAACAUCUCGGUGCAGUGUCCAUUUGGGGAAGUCCUUUAAUUGUUGGCUGUUGGAAGGUGAGAAGAUGCUCAGAAUCAAGGACAGCUCUGUGCCUUCAUCCAUAACCCGCUGCUGAUCCCAGCCAGUUGGAGGUGCUGCGAAAGAUGGGCUAAGUCAGCCCUCACCGAUAAGGGUAAAGUAAGGGUGCUACAGCAUCAGCUCUCCUGGGGUCAUCUCAAGGAACAACAACCCGGUGCUGAGCUUCAAGGAAAGUCUUCACAGAUUUACUCAUUUUCCCUUUUGAACUGCUGCCCUUUUUUUGAUGCAUUUCCAACGUAAGGAAGCUAGUUUCUCCACAGUUUGGCUUUUAACUUCAUUGUUGAGCUUGGCCUUGCUCCUGCUGUUGGAAACCGGACCCUGAUUUGGGAGGGCAGUUGCCAGUGUCUGCUGGAAACUCCUUGCCCUGGGAUUUUCAGCCACGCUGUUUAUUGGCCUAGCUCGGUACGAGGUAAAGGCAGUCGGAAGUCUGCUUACUCAUCACAGCAGAAGAGUUUGGCCAGUGGCAAGUGUAUUUUGGUCUCCUCAAACAUGCACUUGCAGCUCCGCAGCUCGUUCCAGGCUUCCCCACAGCUCCUUCCAGCAGUCACUCUUGCUCAGCUCAGUUCCACACAUCUGAAGCCAUGCUGACCGGCAGGCCUAGAGCUGGGUGGACUUCCAGCCUCACGCCUCAGACUUGUCUCAGGUCCAUUCCAGCAGAAAACUCUCCAGAAUGUUAAAAACAUCAUCCAAAGGACAAAAGCAAGAAGUAUUUCAACACCUAAAAUGUGAACGGUCGAUACUGGUCAAGAUGCUAUGUUACGCUAAACAAGCAUGCCUACAGCCAGCAAGCUUGAGUAUUGCUAUUCCACCCCACAAAGAAUAAAUAGUAAUUAAACUUGUUUGUAUUAAUCUCAAUACAUUCGCUGGAGCUACAGAAACCGAGGGCGGUAAUUCCCAAAUAGCCUUGCUGGUUUCUUUCUCCAGCUGGAGGAUAGGAAGCUGCCUUCCAGGCAUUGAUUUCUUCCAAAAGAAUUAGGGAGAGGCAACUCUAAGGCACUGUGCUUACUGCAG